rnacentral:piRNA from 1 species
UCUGAUGAUCUUCAUAUACUCCUAAGGCA